CAUGUUGAUUUUUUUUUCUUACUGAAAAGGUAAAGCACCUGCCUGUUCUGCAAUAAACGAACAGAAAAAAAGGAUUGGUCCCGGAAGUCAUGCAUCGUUAAUUACUUAAUUACUCAAGUCGCAAUCAGAUAAGACGUGCCAUUUCCUUCAGCAAAUUUAAGCCAGAGAAGGAUGGUGCAAAAGUGAUUACAACAUACUAGGUCCAUCCUCUGUGUACCAGUCCCUUACAGAGCCUGUUGCUGAGAAGGAAAACAGAGCUUGCGCUGAAACCGAAUUUGGCGCUCAAGUUUCUUCUCCCCAUGCGGUGCAAGACCGAGCCAAUGGACUCCACCUACUGCCGUCGCUCUCUUGCAGAUGAAGACUGAUUGACAAUUCUUGGAAAUAUCUGCACCUGGGAUAUUUAAAUAUGCAAAGAGAGGACUAAAUCACGGUUUGAAAAAGUCAUCCAACUAAAGGAAGCAAGACCGAUAAAUCACUGAAGAAGUAAGACAAACGUGUCUGCUCCCAAUUUGAUAAAGUGAACAGAGAAGAUGAAGACAUAUGGAAGCACUACAAGACCAAGUUGUAUAUUAUGCAAUUAGGCGGCACUAAGGCAACAGAGCAACACACGCUGCAUGCUCGGCACGAAGCUGUGGCCUGCGGUCAUCAUGUCGGCGCUGCCCAGCUUUCCUCUCCUCCGGCUCGCCAGCUUGAUUGCCAUGCUGGCGCAACAAGCUCGCUUGCUCCCGGUGGCUGUGGCGCGGACCAAUCUGACCGCGGGGGGCACCUUGAUGCCACCCGACUACAUCACCAGUCCGUCCGGCGACUUUGCCUUUGGCUUCCGCGCCCACGACUCCGAUCCGACCAAGUUCCUCCUCGCCACAUGGUUCCGCUUCGGUGAAGGCAACUCUUCCCCACAGUCGGUGGUGUGGUUUGCGAAAGCGUCCUCCAUGGGCGCCACACCCAACGCCACGGCGCGGUCCGUCCUCAGCAUCCCGGCCGACGGCCAGCUCACGCUCACCGACGGCAGCAUAGAGCUGUGGAAGGCCCCGACCCCCAGCAUGAAGCGUGGAUUCGUCCUCGUGCUAAGAGACUCCGGCAACGUCCAGUUCCUCGGAGAUGGUGGUGUGCUCUGGGAGAGCUUCGGGUUCCCGACAGACACGCUCCUGCCGGGGCAAUCUUGGAAGGGGUUUCUCUUCUCCAAGCGCGCGGACACAGAGUUCACCACCGGUCGGUUCAGCCUGGCUGCCCAAAACGACGGUAACGUCGUCCUCUGCGUCGACCUCUUCACCGGGCAUACUGGGAUACGCGCACCAACGGCACCAAUGGCAACACAACUAUCACCUUCGACGAGCGUGGCAACCUCAGCUACACACUCUACGAUGGCACCGUCUACAGCUUGAUUUCUCCCGUUGCCGCCGGCAGGAACUACUUCCAGUUCGUCAGGAUGGACCCCGACGGCAUCGUCCGUGCCUACGUCCACCCUAAGAAUGGUGAUGGCCGCGAGAACACAACAUCUUGGACCGUGUCAGGCACGCUCCCCAGUGAAGGGGGCUGCAAGAUGAAGACGACCCGGAUGCAAGGCAUGUGCGGCCCCGGGUCUUAUUGCGUGGAGACCAAAGAACGGCUCAAAUGCCUAUGCCCGAGCGGGUACACUUAUAUUGACGCGCAGCACAGCGACAGCGGCUGCACGCCAGAGUUGGAGCCGCAGAGCUCUGGCGAGCAGAACAGCCCCGACAAGUUCUCGCUCGUAGAGCUGCCAAACACAACUUGGGAGGUGUCAAUAUACUACAAGAAGUUCCCGUCAGUCUCGGAGGAGCAAUGCCGGGACUACUGCCUCAGCGACUGCUUCUGCGUGGCCGCGCUGAUGAUCGGUGGGUCUGACUGUGCGGAGUUGGGGGCACUCGCGUACGGACGGCAGGGAAACAACCUGACGACAAAGGCGCUGAUCAAGGUGCGGACAAGGAAUUCUCAGUUGAUCACGUCGGCGAGAAUGAGAAAUGCAUUGGCCUACAAGGUUGUGGCCAUUUGCUUGGGCAUUCUUUUCUUGAUCACAGUCGGUGGCCUUCUGGCACAUCAUUACCUCAUCAGGAACAGAGAUAGCCAGAGGUUGUUGAGCUCGAGCGUAAGAGCAUUCAGCUGGAAGGAGCUUUACCAGGCCACCAAUGGCUUCGAGAAACUGCCGGGCAAAGGGAGCUUCGGGGAGGUCUACAAAGGAACGAUAAGAUCACCGCAGCCGCAUCUCAUCGCAGUGAGAGUUAUUUACCCCAAACCACCACAUUAUGGGCCUAAUCUGUAAUGCGGAGCACCGACGGCGGAAUUUGGUCGUGAAAACAGCGAAACUGACAAGUUGGACCCGCAUAUCGGGCUGACAUGGCGUGCGUAUGUGGACAAUAUGCUGACUUGGACAAUAGGUCCCACCUGUCAAUGACUCAAGUAUUUGUUUUUUUCUACUUCUUCCUCUUUUUUAUAGGCAUUUCAACAAACAUUUUGUGGGCACCCCGCAGGCCAGAGCGCCGCUGCCAUGGAGAAGCGGACUCCUGUUCGUCGGCCUGGGCGCACGGCGGGCUGGGUGCUCCUCGUCGGCCUGGGCGCUGCUCGUCGGCCCGACAUGUGGGCCCAACUUGUCAGUUUCGCUGUUUUCGCAAGCUUAUCAGACUAUCAGUGCUCUGCGUUACAGAUUAGCCUCAUUGUUGGUGGUUUUUUGUGCCCUGCCUCAAAUGUGGUACCGAUCUGUUACCCUAGCCCAUAAUGUGGUGGUUUUGGGUAAAUAACUCUCGCAGUGAAGAAGCUCAUCGACUCAAACAAGUAUAGUGAGCAGGAGUUCACAAAUGAGGUACAGUCCAUCGGGCAGAUCCACCACCGGAACUUGGUCCGUAUGAUCGGCUACUGCAAAGAAGGCAAGCACCGGAUGCUGGUUUUUGAGUUCAUGCCUGGCGGAUCGCUCCGUAGCGUCCUCUUCAACCCAGAGAGGCGGCCUUCGUGGCGCUGGCGUGCUGAGGCCGCCCUUGCCAUCGCCCGGGGGCUUGAGUACCUCCACGAUGGCUGCAGCGCACCGAUCAUCCAUUGCGACAUCAAGCCCGACAACAUCCUGCUGGACGACCGUGGAGUCCCGAGGAUCACCGACUUUGGGAUCUCCAAGCUGCUGGGGAGCCAGCAGGUGCACACAACAGUGACCCACAUCAGGGGCACCAGAGGGUACAUCGCGCCCGAGUGGCUCCGCAGGCGGAUGUGUACAGCUUCGGCGUCGUGCUGCUGGAGAUGAUCUGCUGCCGGAGGUGUCAGGAGCCAGUGUCUCAUUCUGACCUGCCACAGGGUGAGGAGGAUGAUGAGACAGUCACGCUGUUUGGUUGGGCAGCACAACUGGUGGCCACGCAGAGGACAGAGCUGAUGCUGCACGGCGACGCUGACGUUGACACUGCUGAGGACAUGGAGAGGGUGGAGCGGUUCACGCGCGUGGCGCUCUGGUGCGUCGAGCCAAACCCGCUGCUGCGGCCAACCACGCACCAGGUGGUGCAGAAUCUAGAGACCAAUGAUCCGGCUCAGCUUCAGGCACUGCCACACCAACCUCCAGACUGUUAUAUGGAAUCCUCACCUUUAAUUCCUCAGCUCAAGAUGGCAUGUUAGUGAUUCAUCAGACUGCGUGUAAGCCCCUCCAUCUACCAAUACGAUACCUAAUAAGUUGAAUUAAUUUUUUCACGGUUAAUACUACAAGACAAGAUGAUCUCCAACAAUUCCCGAGUGCAAGUGUGAGUAACACUCCUUCAUAAUUGUUCUCAGAUGUCCAAUCUAUUCUAGUCAAGUCUGAAAAGUGAAAACCCGACCAGACUAGAGAAAAAGGGUAACCAAGAAAUUACUAUAAUAUUUAUGUAAAAAUGAGCGAAUAUCCAACCUAUUGUAGUCUAGUCUGAGACCACGCGACUCAGAAUGUACCGUGCACGGGCUAAAUACUCCGGUCCCCAUGACCCCACCUCGUGACCGGAACUAACAAAUAUGGAAUCCCUUUCAAAGGUUGAUCUCAAGAGAUGACAAGUUACCAAAACUGUAAGCUGUAAUAGUAGUGUAGCCUGGAAGAACUCAAGAACAGCUACCCCAGGACUCGAGUGCCCUAAAACAAGAACCAAGCUGGAAAAAAUUGCUCCCCAGCAAAUAGGUGAAAUUUGCUUUUUCCUAAGAAAAAUGCAACAUCCAUAGCUUGCAUCACAAAUGUCACCGCCAUUAUGUGACAUGCGAAAGAUAAAAAAAAAAGGUACUGCCAUCAUGUGACAUGUGAAAGAUCAAGCAUUUGACGGCCAUAGAAUGGAGUAAAAGCCCAACUAUGUGUUCGUAAUGAAUCUGCUAAAUGCCUUCGAUGGACCUCAAAAUUUCCACCUAAUUAAAAUGAAUUUCAGUGGUUGCCCACAGGAUAAAACAAAGACAUCUUACUCAAUUCAGAAGCUGGUUAGGCAGCUGGUAGUGUGGGUGUUUGUUGGCCCUUCAUUUGUUUGCCCUUGUUUCUUUUCUUCCAUGUACAUUUCUCAUGUACAUUUUAUUUUCUGCUUGUAGACUUGCAAUCUUAAUUUCAAUAAAUAUAACAGGGGGGUGGGGCUUUGCCCUACUGCACAACUCAAAACAAAUGAACUGAAUCGCAUGGACAUAAGGCAUAAGAUAAAUUUAUCCCCACGGAAAUAGAAAACAUUUUGAAAAAAUCACAAAUUGGCAGACCAUUGCAGUUGUAUCAACAUCACAAGUAGACAACAAUUUGUUUUUUGUAUUUUGAGUUUGGACACUGAGUUCUAAUACAUGAAUAACAAGUGGUAUAUUAUAUUUCACAAAGUUUCUGAAACUUGUUGAGAAGCAAUCAUGCACACGGAGUGACAUAUAUUAACACUAAAAUUGACCAGAUAUAUGCUAAUCAGGCAGCUUAACUGGCAGGAUUUUCCCCAAUUUUUUUGACAGAGCAGACACACUAAAACAGUAGAGUGGCAUUUAUCUAUGAUCAACAGAUCCGCAAAGAGCAUAACAAAUUUCUAUAUACAUUUAACAUAAUCAAUCAUUCGAACUUGAUUCUAAGGAUUUGAGUUCAAUCGAAGGUCUUGGCGGCUGCGCACCUUGUUGUGGAAGAGGCGGUCCACCGGCGAGAUCGAGACCCUCCGACGGCGGAAUCGGGUGCGGCCUGCUCCGUUGAGGACUUGCCACGGGUUGGCAGGAAGCCCUAUCCAGAUACUGGUGGGAAUCGAGCCGGCCGAACGGCGCAGCCCGCCGACGACAGAUGCGCUCCCUCUGCGCCGGCGCAUGUGUGAGGUUUUUUUU
rnacentral:lncRNA from 1 species